rnacentral:rRNA from 1 species
UGACGAGAAGACCCUAUGAAGCUGAUUACUAAUUAUUUAAUUAAUAUUAUUCAAAGUAAAUUGUUUGGGGAAAAACUUAAUAUUAUUAUUAAUACUUAGGCUUCUGAUGAUCUUUAUUAAAUUUAAAGAAAAAGCUACUCUAGGGAUAACAGCGUAAUAAUAAUUAGAGACCUCAUCGAAAUUAUUGUUUGCGACCUCGAUGUUGAAUUAUGGAGAUUUUCUGGAGCAGCAUCUAGAAAAUGAAGUCUGUUCGACUUAUUUUCCAUACAUGAUCUGAGUUCAAACCGG